UACGUAGGGUGCAAGCGUUGUCCGGAAUUAUUGGGCGUAAAGAGCUCGUAGGCGGUUUGUCGCGUCGAAUGUGAAAACCCGGGGCUUAACUCCGGGUCUGCAUUCGAUACGGGCAGGCUAGAGUUCGGUAGGGGAGAUCGGAAUUCCUGGUGUAGCGGUGAAAUGCGCAGAUAUCAGGAGGAACACCGGUGGCGAAGGCGGAUCUCUGGGCCGAUACUGACGCUGAGGAGCGAAAGCGUGGGGAGCGAACAGG
rnacentral:rRNA from 1 species